rnacentral:lncRNA from 1 species
CUCAAGGAAUUAGGACUGCUCUAAGAACAUAUGAAACAUAAAGAUUUCCUUCUCUAAAUGGUUAUCUCUAUAGAAUUACAAUGAGAUAUAACAAGGGUUGUCCAUGUAGACAACAUGCCAAAGAAAAUGUCAUGAUGGCAUUAAACCACCUUAAGCUUCGUGGUCACGAGGUUGAAAUUUUUGCCUGAAACCAAAAUAGAAAAGGAAAUUACAUACUUUUGCACACUAUAUACAUAAAGGAAAUUACAUACUUUUGCACACUAUAUACAUUUAGUUGAGUCCAACUACGUACAUUGUACAUAUGAACAUGCCGACAAAUACACUAUAUUUCAGGCACUGGAACCCCAACAUGUCCCAGGUUUACUAUGGGCCAUGGUAACCUAAUCAAGAGAACUCGUCACAACUACAUAAACGCGUUUACUUCUCAAAUUGGAUGGAGUUAUGGGUCUCCACUUCUCAGCAGAUCAUGCAACUAAUUGUUAUCAACAAUUAAAUCUGAAUUAAUUGUAGAGCUAAAGAAAUUAUUUUGACCAAAUUUUACAAAUAAUAAGUAAGGCCACAUUGGAUAAAAGUUCAGAGAGUAAAUAGGAGAAGAUGGUAAACAAAGAUUGCUUUUAAGUCACACAAACAAAUAAAAAUUUCAUUGGCCAGAACAUAUUUUUCCCUUCAAAAUUGGCAACCAUUAAAAUGGACAACAUCAAAUGCAGCGAUGCAAAAAUAAUAAUAAUAAUAAUAAUAAAGGUAAAUGACUGGAGAUGUGAAUGCAAAGAUUGAAAUGCGAUAUGCACUUUCACGUUGCCAUUUACUAUUAAGAACAAAAAAGCCUUAGUAAAAGCAAGAUCCUUCAACCAUAUUGAGACUGAAAAGGGGGAUAUGGAUUGACGUUUCCAAAAGAUUUAUCAAUGUUAAUUGUCAGGUUGAACACCAAAUGCACGAACCUGUGUUUCUGCUGUGCGCACACAAAUAAAAGGAAAAGAUGGUAUCCUAAUCCAUCCAACAAAAACUAGUAAGAGUAUUCAACCCAUUUUGCCAAAAGUUAUUUGCUAAAUGGUGCAAUCUAUAGCAAUCAUAAAUACCCAUACACAUUUUCAAAAACUUUUCAAAGACUACAAGAAUCUAUAAUUUCUUCUGAGACACAGAAGAAUCUAAGAAUUUGCCAAAGGCAGGCAGAAAAAAAGAAGGAAUUAGAAA